CUGAAAUUCAGCCUUCUGUGGAAGCUGGACCUUGCAACAGCAUUCGAGAACGGGUUCCUGAGCCUGACAAACAUAAUCUUGCAGCAUGGAGAGGCAAGUGAGGUCGUUACACUGUCUGCAAGCUCUACUGGUAAUGCAGUACUGGGGCCACUUGAGGUCAUUGCGCAGAGGUGUAAGGAAAAGCUGAGCAACAUCGUUUCCAGGGACGUUCCAACACUGACGCCUUGCGUCGUUAUGGAAAACGAGGUGGUGAAGGUCUUCGUG